rnacentral:rRNA from 1 species
GAUGAACGCUGGCGGCGUGCCUAAUACAUGCAAGUCGAGCGAAGCGGGGACGGGUGAGUAACACGUGGCUAACCUCCUAUAAGACUGGGAUAACUUCGGGAAACCGGAGCUAAUCCGGAUACUUAUAGAUUGAUCCGCGCUGCAUUAGCUAGUUGGUAAGGUAACGGCGUACUAAGGCAACGAUGCAUAGCCGACCGGAGAGGGUGAUCGGCCACACAGGAACUGAGACACGGUCCAGACACCUACGGGAGGCAGCAGUAGGGAAGCUUCCGCAAUGAGCGAAAGCCUGAAGGAGCAACGCCGCGUGUGUGAUGAAGGUCUGCGGAUCGUAAAACUCUGUUAUUAGGGAAGCGGUACCUAAUCAGAAAGCCACUGCUAACUACAUGCCAGCCGCCGCGGUAAUUC